GAUGAAGAACGCAGCGAAAUGCGAUAAGUAGUGUGAAUUGCAGAAUUCAGUGAAUCAUCGAAUCUUUGAACGCACAUUGCGCCCUUUGGUAUUCCUUAGGGCAUGCCUGUUCGAGCGUCAUUUAAACCUUCAAGCUAAGCUUGGUGUUGGGUGACUGUCCGCCUCACGGCGGACUCGCCUCAAAAUUAUUGGCGGCCGGUACAUUGGCUUCGAGCGCAGCAGAAACGCGAACUCGGGCCCGUCGUAUUGGCUCCCAGAAGCUAUCUUCACAAUUUUGACCUCGGAUCAGGUAGGGAUACCCGCUGAACUUAAGCAUAUAAAUAAGCGGAGGA
rnacentral:misc_RNA from 1 species